GACGAACGCUGGCGGCGUGCUUAACACAUGCAAGUCGAGCGGUAAGGCCCUUUCGGGGGUACACGAGCGGCGAACGGGUGAGUAACACGUGGGUGACCUGCCCUCAGCUCUGGGAUAAGCCUGGGAAACCGGGUCUAAUACUGGAUAUGACUCCAUGACGCAUGUUGGUGGGGUGGAAAGCCUUGUGCGGCUGAGGAUGGGCCCGCGGCCUAUCAGCUUGUUGGUGGGGUGANGGCCUACCAAGGCGACGACGGGUAGCCGGCCUGAGAGGGCGA
rnacentral:rRNA from 1 species